rnacentral:rRNA from 1 species
UGCGGCAGCGAACGUAUCACCCAAGACAACUUUACGGAGUUGACGAUUGACGGAGCGAAGCGACGUCAAAGCGUUCAUUAAAGUCGAGUUGGCUUAGGGAUACGUUCGUUGGGUAGGGGAGCGUUCUGUAAGCCUGUGAAGGUGUGUCGUGAGGCAUGCUGGAGGUAUCAGAAGUGCGAAUGCUGACAUAAGUAACGAUAAAGCGGGUGAAAAGCCCGCUCGCCGGAAGACCAAGGGUUCCUGUCCAACGUUAAUCGGGGCAGGGUGAGUCGACCCCUAAGGCGAGGCCGAAAGGCGUAGUCGAUGGGAAACGGGUUAAUAUUCCCGUACUUGGUGUUACUGCGAAGGGGGGACGGAGAAGGCUAUGUUGGCCGGGCGACGGUUGUCCCGGUUUAAGCGUGUAGGCUGGUUUUCCAGGCAAAUCCGGAAAAUCAAGGCUGAGGCGUGACGACGAGGC